rnacentral:rRNA from 1 species
AUUCCAGCUCCAAUAGCGUAUAUUAAAGUUGUUGCAGUUAAAACGCUCGUAGUCGGAUUUCGGGGCGGGCCGACCGGUCUGCCGAUGGGUAUGCACUGGCCGGCGCGUCCUUCCACCCGGAGACCGCGCCUACUCUUAACUGAGCGGGCGCGGGAGACGGGUCUUUUACUUUGAAAAAAUCAGAGUGUUUCAAGCAGGCAGUCGCUCUUGCAUGGAUUAGCAUGGGAUAAUGAAAUAGGACUCUGGUGCUAUUUUGUUGGUUUCGAACACCGGAGUAAUGAUUAACAGGGACAGUUGGGGGUAUUCGUAUUUAAGUGUCAGAGGUGAAAUUCAUGGAUUUCUGAAAGACGAACUACUGCGAAAGCAUUUACCAAGGAUGUUUUCAUUG